rnacentral:misc_RNA from 1 species
GCAAACUUGGUCAUUUAGAGGAAGUAAAAGUCGUAACAAGGUUUCCGUAGGUGAACCUGCGGAAGGAUCAUUACAAAUCCAUCACGUCUCAUUCCUGAGACCACGUUGAAAUGUUCCCUGGUGUUGUUGCCGUCCGCCGUUGUCGGCGCGGGGGCAGCAGCACUGGGCUCGUGCAAUCACACACACUAGUACAUCCUCUGUUGCCCAAUUGUACCUCUCACCUGACCUCUCGUGCCCGUCCGUACCAUGCGUACGCGCGUGCACAUGAUCAGGGCGAACAAAAGUACAACUUAUAACAAUGGAUCUCUAGGCUCUUGCAUCGAUGAAGAACGCAGC